GGCGGACGGGUGAGUAACACGUGGGGAAUCUACCUUUUAGUGGGGAAUAACGCUCCGAAAGGAGUGGUAAUACCGCAUGAGACCUUCGGCUGGGAUGCUGGAGGUGAAACCUGGGGACCGCAAGGCCUGGGGCUAGAAGAGGAUCCUGCGUCUGAUUAGCUAGUUGGCGGGGUAAUGGCCCACCAAGGCGACGAUCAGUAGCCGGCCUGAGAGGGUGAUCGGCCACACUGGAACUGAGACACGGUCCAGACUCCUACGGGAGGCAGCAGUGGGGAAUUUUGCGCAAUGGACGAGAGUCUGACGCAGCAACGCCGCGUGGGUGAUGAAGGUCUUCGGACUGUAAAA
rnacentral:rRNA from 1 species